UUUUGUAUUUUGAGUUCUUCGUUAAAAUUUUAUGGUUUCUUUAUUUUUUUAACCUCUGCAUUAAACUGUCUACCUGGCACAUAGUAGGAACUAAAAUCAUGAUACAUAAAUUAAAUCUGAACAUGCUUUGUGCUGCUCUUUUGUGAAAUCCUUGGAGAAAGCCAUGCUUUCUUGAAGCAUUAGUGCAGGUAACUUGAAAGGUUACAGUUGAAAUAAUGUUUUUAAAGAAAACAUCCAGCCAUUUAGCAUGGGUCAAAAUACUCUUUGUCAGUCAGAUGGGACUCUCACUGGAAUUCUCUGUCCACAUGACUACACCAAAAUCCAGGCUCACGGGGUGGACGACCAACUAAGAUUCGCCUUGCCUCAAAAGAAAAGAAAAUAUCUUUUACUUGCAGGACAAGUCAUAACGUCUACUCCCAUGAAGAACUAAUUGCCUAUAUGUUACUAAUGAUGCAGAAAUGGCUGGAACCAAUGUGGAAAAUAUUUCACAAAAGAAACACUCUCCUUUUAGUUUUAUUGCCAGGUAUAAUUGAUUCCAUACAGUCUGGCCAUCAUUCUUGUUGAUUCUGUUUCUUCUAGCACAGAAAUAUAUACUCUUGCAUUGAUAUUUGAUGUUUUAGUUCUUCUCACCAGUUAAUAUGACAUCAACUCUUUGAAGGAGGGGGGAGGUAAAGAGUUUGGUUUACCUAAAUGUUCAGAAACAUAAAAAUUACAUUUAAAAAAGGAUAUUUUAAGUGCUUUCGUUAUUUUGCUUUAUUUUUACAUGUAUUUAUAUUGUAAGUCAUUUUUCAAUGACCAAACAUGAUCUGACUUUUAAAGUAUAGUUUAAAGUAUAUCUUGAUAAUUAACAGGCUACUAAUUGUUCAGAUGGUCUUUUAAAAAAUGUAUACUUACAGGACAUUUACAUCAAAGUCCCCUUAAAACUAAUAUUUCACCUGAUAAACUUUCCCUAAAUACCUGACCUUUAGAUUACAAAGUGUUUUACAACUAACUUGAUACUUAAACAAAACUCUAGCAAUUAUGUCUACUCCCUGAAUGUUCUCAUGCAAUAGGUUUUUUUUCCUCAUGAGUCAUACAUCUGGGAAUCUUACUGAAAAAUAAAUUAAUCAAACUUUCUAAACGGUUA